rnacentral:rRNA from 1 species
UACGUAGGGUGCAAGCAUUAAUCGGAAUUAUUGGGCGUAAAGGGCGUGUAGGCGGAUGCGUAAGUCAGAUGUGAAAUUCCGGGGCUCAACCUCGGAGCUGCAUUUGAAACUGUGUAUCUAGAGGGUUGACGGAGAAAACGGAAUUCCACGUGUAGCGGUGAAAUGCGUAGAUAUGUGGAAGAACACCAGUGGCGAAAGCGGUUUUCUAGUUAAUACCUGACGCUGAGGCGCGAGAGCAAGGGGAGCAAACAGG